UACGGGGGGGGCAAGCGUUGUUCGGAAUUACUGGGCGUAAAGGGUGCGUAGGCGGCUUUCUAAGUCGGAUGUGAAAACUCUGGGCUCAACCCAGAGCCUGCAUCUGAAACUGGAGAGCUAGGGCUCUGGAGGGGAAAGCGGAAUUCCUGGUGUAGCGGUGAAAUGCGUAGAUAUCAGGAGGAACACCGGUGGCGAAGGCGGCUUUCUGGACAGAUACCGACGCUGAGGCACGAAAGCUAGGGGAGCAGACAGG
rnacentral:rRNA from 1 species